rnacentral:rRNA from 1 species
UACGUAGGGGGCGAGCGUUGUCCGGAUUUAUUGGGCGUAAAGAGCGUGUAGGCGGUUCGGUAAGUCUGUCGUGAAAUCCUGAGGCUCAACCUCGGGCGUGCGAUGGAUACUGCCGGGCUAGAGGGUGGUAGAGGCGAGUGGAAUUCCCGGUGUAGUGGUGAAAUGCGUAGAUAUCGGGAGGAACACCAGUGGCGAAGGCGACUUCCUGGCCUGUUCUUGACGCUGAGGCGCGAAAGCUAGGGGAGCAAACGGGG